CUUAUCUUGCUAACGCCGAUGGCAACCGGCGCACAGGUGAGUAACACUUAUCCAACCUGCCGUCUACUCUUGCACACCCUUCUGAAAGGAAGAUUAAUACAAGAUGGCAUCAUGACUUCACAUGUUCACAUGAUUAAAGGUAUUCCGGUACACGAUGGGGAUGCGUUCCAUUAGAUAGUAGGCGGGGUAACGGCCCACCUAGUCUUCGAUGGAUAGGGGUUCUGAGAGGAAUGUCCCCCACAUUGAAACUGAGACACGGUCCAAACUCGUACGGGAGGCAGCAGUGAGGAAUAUUGGUCAAUGGGCGCAGGCCUGAACCAGCCAAGUAGCGUGAAGGAUGACUGCCCUAUGGGUUGUAAACUUCUUUUAUAAAGGAAUAAAGUCGGGUAUGUAUACCCGUUUGCAUGUACUUUAUGAAUAAGGAUCGGCUAACUCCGUGCCAGCAGCCGCGGUAAUACGGAGGAUCCGAGCGUCUAUCCGGAUUUAUUGGGUUUAAAGGGAGCGUAGAUGGAUGUUUAAGUCAGUUGUGAAAGUUUGCGGCUCACCCGUAAAAUUGCAGUUGAUACUGGAUAUCUUGAGUGCAGAUGAGGCAGGCGGAAUUCGUGGUGUAGCGGUGAAAUGCUUAGAUAUCACGAAGAACUCCGAUUGCGAAGGCAGCCUGCUAAGCUGCAACUGACAUUGAGGCUAGAAAGUGUGGGCAUCAAACAGGAUUAGAUACCCUGGUACUCCACGCGGUAAACGACGGAAUACUCGUCGUUUGCGAUAUACUGCAAGCGGCCAAGCGAAAGCGUUAAGUAUUCCACCUGGGGAGUACGCCGGCAGCGGUGAAACUCAAAGGAAUUGACGGGGGCCCGCACAAGCGGAGGAACAUGUGGUUUAAUUCGAUGAUACGCGAGGAACCUUACCCGGGCUAAAUUGCAGAUGAAUUACGGUGAAAGCCGUAAGCCGCAAGGCAUCUGCGAAGGUGCUGCAUGGUUGUCGUCAGCUCGUGCCGCGAGGUGUCGGCGUAAGUUCCAUAACGAGCGCAACCCUUGUUGUCAGUUACUAACAGGUUCCGCUGAGGACUCUGACAAGAUUGCCAUCGUAAGAUGUGAGGAAGGCGGGGAUGACGUCAAAUCAGCACGGCCCUUACGUCCGGGGCUACACACGUGUCACAAUGGGGGGUACAGAGGGCCGCUACCACGCGAGUGGAUGCCAAUCCCCAAAACCUCUUUCAGUUCGGAGUGGAGUUUGCAACCCGACUCCAAGAAGCUGGAUUCGGUAGUAAUCGCGCAUCAGCCACGGCGCGGUGAAUACGUUCCCGGCCCGUGCCCAAAGCGCCCUUC
rnacentral:rRNA from 1 species